AGCCUUACCUGGCAGAGAAGUUAUCAUGAUCAAGAAGAUGAUUUUCCCAGGGCAAGGCUUAUCCAUUGCAAUCGAGAUGUGCCGACCCCUGAAACUUCCUCAAAUGUGGGAAACUACAUGACGGAAUAACUUGGUGGUAGUGGGAGAUUGCAUUCAUGCUCUCCCGG
rnacentral:snRNA from 1 species